GCUUAAAUAACUCAACGGUAGAGUAAUGGACUGAAGAUCCAUAAGUUGUCAGUUCAAAUCUGACUUUAAGCA
rnacentral:tRNA from 1 species